UAACGAAAAAGGUAGCCUCUGAGUAAUCAGAGUGAGUACACAAAACUAUAGGAUCCCGAUAUAUCGGGAUAGCCAGGAUGCCGAA
rnacentral:ncRNA from 1 species